rnacentral:rRNA from 1 species
UACGUAGGGGGCAAGCGUUGUCCGGAUUUACUGGGCGUAAAGCGCCUGUAGGCGGCCUGUCAAGUCCGGCCUGAAAGCCCCCCGCUCAACGGGGGAGGGUGGCUGGAAACUGGCAGGCUUGAGGGCGAGAGAGGAGGGUGGAAUUCCUGGUGUAGCGGUGAAAUGCGUAGAUAUCGGGAGGAACACCUGUGGCGAAGGCGGCCCCCUGGUUGGAUACUGACGCUGAUACGCGAAAGCGUGGGGAGCAAACAGG